ACGGAAUACGACAUCAAAAGUCAUAUAAAGGAGGACUUGGACGUAAUAGUGACCCAUUUUCACAAUGAAGCCGAAUCUAAGACAUGCACACAUCGCCCGUCACUCUCGCCUAAAGGCGAGAUAAGUCGUAACAAAGUAGGUGUAACGGAAGUUGCACCUGU
rnacentral:rRNA from 1 species